GGAGAAACGAUCAGGAACACAACAAAGUUGGUUAAAACUUUGUUAAUUAAUAGGGACAAAUGAAUGUACUGAUUAAACAAUAGCACCAUUUGGAACAUGUAGGAGGAAGAAAUUAUCGAACAAUUCGUAAAGCGAGGAGAACAUGGGAAGAUACAGCAACUGCAAGAUCUGCUGCAGGUUGUGACUGAUACAGUAUUGAUUAAGAACUUAUCUGAGGUGGAAGAGCUGUGGUUCUGGUGGACAACUACUGAGGUGAGACAGUGAUGCCAAUGUCAACGUGGCUCAGCAUCUUCAGCAGAGCUUAUUAGCAUG